AUUGAACGCUGGCGGCAUGCCUUACACAUGCAAGUCGAACGGCAGCACGGAGGGGUAACUCUUUGGUGGCGAGUGGCGAACGGGUGAGUAACAUAUCGGAACGUACCCAGGAGUGGGGGAUAACUAUCCGAAAGGAUGGCUAAUACCGCAUAAGCUCUGAGGAGGAAAGUGGGGGAUCUGCAAGGACCUCAUGCUGCUGGAGCGGCCGAUAUCUGAUUAGCUAGUUGGUGAGGUAAAGGCUCACCAAGGCGAUGAUCAGUAGCUGGUCUGAGAGGACGACCAGCCACACUGGAACUGAGACACGGUCCAGACUCCUACGGGAGGCAGCAGUGGGGAAUUUUGGACAAUGGGGGCAACCCUGAUCCAGCAAUGCCGCGUGAGUGAUGAAGGCCUUCGGGUUGUAAAGCUCUUUUGUCAGGGAAGAAACAGCAGCUCUAACACAGCUGUGAAUGACGGUACCUGAAGAAUAAGCACCGGCUAACUACGUGCCAGCAGCCGCGGUAAUACGUAGGGUGCAAGCGUUAAUCGGAAUUACUGGGCGUAAAGCGUGCGCAGGCGGUUAUACAAGACAGGCGUGAAAUCCCCGGGCUUAACCUGGGAAUUGCGUCUGUGACUGUAUGGCUAGAGUGUGUCAGAGGGGGGUAGAAUUCCACGUGUAGCAGUGAAAUGCGUAGAUAUGUGGAGGAAUACCAAUGGCGAAGGCAGCCCCCUGGGAUAACACUGACGCUCAUGCACGAAAGCGUGGGGAGCAAACAGGAUUAGAUACCCUGGUAGUCCACGCCCUAAACGAUGCUGACUAGUUGUUCGGGAUUUUAUCCUGAGUAACGUAGCUAACGCGUGAAGUCAGCCGCCUGGGGAGUACGGUCGCAAGAUUA
rnacentral:rRNA from 1 species